rnacentral:piRNA from 1 species
UCACCAGAUUUCACCGAGAGACCCCUUCUUU